rnacentral:tRNA from 1 species
GCGGGUGUAGCUCAGUGGUAGAGCGAGACGUUGCCAACGUCUAGGUCGUCGGUUCAAGUCCGAUCACCCGCUCCA